AAAGUCGUAACAAGGUUUCCGUAGGUGAACCUGCGGAAGGAUCAUUCAAAAUAUUCGGCAUUUUGCCGAUCGGGUUGACUUUAUGCCCCCGUACCUUCUGUGCACAGUAUAUUUCUUACUUAACUUAUAAUGACUGAAUAUUAUUUCUUUUGUUAUUUUGUUUUUUUUGAAGGCAUUUCAAUGCUUUUAGAAGAGAAAAUGACAUAUAUGAAUGUAUAUACAACUUUUAACAAUGGAUCUCUUGGCUCUC
rnacentral:misc_RNA from 1 species